rnacentral:rRNA from 1 species
UACGGAGGGUGCAAGCGUUAAUCGGAAUUACUGGGCGUAAAGCGUGCGUAGGCGGUUCGUUAAGUCUGUUGUGAAAGCCCCGGGCUCAACCUGGGAAUGGCAAUGGAUACUGGCGAGCUAGAGUGUGUCAGAGGAUGGUGGAAUUCCGGUGUAGCGGUGAAAUGCGUAGAGAUCGGGAGGAACAUCAGUGGCGAAGGCGGCCAUCUGGACAACACUGACGCUGAGGCACGAAAGCGUGGGGAGCAAACAGG